GGGGGGGGGGGGGGGGGGGGGGGGGGGGGGCGAGGCGGGGGGACGGACGGGGGGCUGGCUUCUCUGGUGUUAGCGGCGGGCGGGUGAGUGACACGUGGAUAACCUACCUAUAAGACUGGGAUAACUUCGGGAAACCGGAGCUAAUACCGGGUAAUAUUUUGAACCGCAUUGUUCAAAAGUGACAGACGGUCUUGCUGUCACUUAUCGAUGGAUCCGCGCUGCAUUAGCUAGGUUGUAAGGUAACGGCUUACCAAGGCAACGCUGCAUAGCCGACCUGAGAGGGUGAUCGGCCACAAUGGAACUGAGACCCGGUCCAGACUCCUACGGGAGGCAGCAGUAGGGAAUCUUCCGCAAUGGGCGAAAGCCUGACGGAGCAACGCCGCGUGAGUGAUGAAGGUCUUCGGAUCGUAAAACUCUGUUAUUAGGGAAGAACAUAUGUGUAAGUAACUGUGCACAUCUUGACGGUACCUAAUCAGAAAGCCACGGCUAACUACGUG
rnacentral:rRNA from 1 species